AGGAAACUGAGGCAUGGAGGGGCUUCACAACGUACCAAGAUCAUAUGUCCACUAUGUGAAAUAUUUGAACCCUGGCUCCAGUAUAAACCACAAGAGGCUUUUGGAAACCACACAGCAGAGAAUUCCUUCAUUUAUCAAGUUUCACUGAGUAUCUAUUCUGGAACAAACUCUGAUAAGCCCUGAGAAUUCCAGUACCUCUCUCAGAGACAAAGAGAAAGUUCUUCCAGUGUCGGACGAGCCCUGACAAGAUCUGCUCUCCCUGUUCUCAUCCCACGGACCUCCUCCUCGACACUCUACCUGCUCUGCUCCGGCAACCCUGCUCACCUUUCUGUUUCCAGAAGGCCAGAGAGCUGAGAGUGCGAGUCCUAGUUGAUGUACUACCUGAGAGCCAACGUCUUCAUUCUUCUUGCUAACAGAAGCACAAUGUUGUCCAGGAACCGGAGUCCAGGUUCUUCAUGGGCACUUCUACAUACCGCGGAGUACGGAGCUGAUAGGUCCUACUCAAUGACUAACAAGAUGUAAGAAAGAGCCUCCUGCGAGAGCAUUUUACUCCCUGAUGAAAAAAAA